AAAAAAACAUUCGGACCGUCGGUCUACCGAGCAAUAUCACCCGCUCGGUGGAAGAUUUCCCCUCCGUCGUUAAAU
rnacentral:pre_miRNA from 1 species